rnacentral:rRNA from 1 species
UACGAAGGGGGCGAGCGUUGUUCGGAAUUACUGGGCGUAAAGGGCGCGCAGGCGGCUCAGACAGUCAGAUGUGAAAGCCCCGGGCUUAACCUGGGAACUGUAUUUGAUACUACUGAGCUUGAGUACGGGAGAGGAUAGUGGAAUUCCCAGUGUAGAGGUGAAAUUCGUAGAUAUUGGGAAGAACACCGGUGGCGAAGGCGGCUAUCUGGACCGUAACUGACGCUGAGGCGCGAAAGCGUGGGGAGCAAACAGG